rnacentral:rRNA from 1 species
GAUGAACGCUGGCGGCGUGCCUAAUACAUGCAAGUCGAGCGAACAGACGAGGAGCUUGCUCCUCUGACGUUAGCGGCGGACGGGUGAGUAACACGUGGAUAACCUACCUAUAAGACUGGGAUAACUUCGGGAAACCGGAGCUAAUACCGGAUAAUAUAUUGAACCGCAUGGUUCAAUAGUGAAAGACGGUUUUACUGUCACUUAUAGAUGGAUCCGCGCCGCAUUAGCUAGUUGGUAAGGUAACGGCUUACCAAGGCAACGAUGCGUAGCCGACCUGAGAGGGGGAUCGGCCACACUGGAACUGAGACACGGUCCAGACUCCUACGGGAGGCAGCAGUAGGGAAUCUUCCGCAAUGGGCGAAAGCCUGACGGAGCAACGCCGCGUGGGUGAGGAAGGUCUUCGGAUCGUAAAACUCUGUUAUUAGGGAAGAACAAAUGUGUAAGUAACGAUGCACGUCUUGACGGUACCUAAUCAGAAAGCCACGGCUAACUACGU